rnacentral:rRNA from 1 species
CACAGGUGGGAUUGCGUUUUAAAUAUUGAAUAGGCAUUAAGUGUGAUUAGGUGGCGAAUACUACGCUAGAGUCCUAAGAGGAGAGUUAGAGGAAUAACCAAAUGAAGGAUGAAUCUAUAGAUAUUGGUUGGAACAUCGAUAGCGACAGCAUCACUCUAUUUAGGACUGACACUGAAUCACUAAAGUGUGGGGAGCAAAACGG